GACGAACGCUGGCGGCGUGGAUUAGGCAUGCAAGUCGGACGGUAGGGCUUUAUCGUAAGAUAGAGUUUGAGAGUGGCGAACGGGUGAGUAAAGCAUCGGAACGUGCCCUGGAGUGGGGGAUAACGUAGCGAAAGUUACGCUAAUACCGCAUAUUCUGUGAGCAGGAAAGCAGGGGAUCGCAAGACCUUGCGCUCUGGGAGCGGCCGAUGUCGGAUUAGCUAGUUGGUGGGGUAAAGGCCUACCAAGGCGACGAUCCGUAGCGGGUCUGAGAGGAUGAUCCGCCACACUGGGACUGAGACACGGCCCAGACUCCUACGGGAGGCAGCAGUGGGGAAUUUUGGACAAUGGGCGCAAGCCUGAUCCAGCCAUGCCGCGUGAGUGAAGAAGGCCUUCGGGUUGUAAAGACUCUUUCGGUCCGGGAGAAAUCGCAUGGGUCAAUACCCUGUGUGGAUGACGGUACCGGAAUAAGAAGACACCGGCUAACUACGUGCCAGCAGCCGCGGUAAC
rnacentral:rRNA from 1 species